GAUCAUGGCUCAGGAUGAACGCUAGCUACAGGCUUAACACAUGCAAGUCGAGGGGCAGCAUGAACUUAGCUUGCUAAGUUUGAUGGCGACCGGCGCACGGGUGAGUAACACGUAUCCAACCUGCCGAUGACUCGGGGAUAGCCUUUCGAAAGAAAGAUUAAUACCCGAUGGCAUAAUUCUUCCGCAUGGUAGAACUAUUAAAGAAUUUCGGUCAUCGAUGGGGAUGCGUUCCACUAGGUUGUUGGCGGGGUAACGGCCCACCAAGCCUUCGAUGGAUAGGGGUUCUGAGAGGAAGGUCCCCCACAUUGGAACUGAGACACGGUCCAAACUCCUACGGGAGGCAGCAGUGAGGAAUAUUGGUCAAUGGACGAGAGUCUGAACCAGCCAAGUAGCGUGAAGGAUGACUGCCCUAUGGGUUGUAAACUUCUUUUAUACGGGAAUAAAGUGAGGCACGUGUGCCUUUUUGUAUGUACCGUAUGAAUAAGGAUCGGCUAACUCCGUG
rnacentral:rRNA from 1 species